GGCUAUGGAUAACCUGGGCCACAGGAGCUUUCCCUGCUCUGGGUUCCUGCAUUCUGGGUCCCCCAGGAGCACAGCUGUGUGAUGAACAUAGGUGUGGGGAAGAGCUUCAUCAUGCUGAAGACUUUGGUUGCAUUUAUGGAUUUCACCUUUGCAAAAUACCUGUGUGAGUCCCAAGCCUCCUCAGCUUCUCCACAGAUCCAGCAGAAAGCACCGCCAUAGAUCCAGCAGCAUCAUUGAGAGAGGAUGCCAGCAAAAGAGAGUAUCUGCCCAGCAAUUGGUGUCACCUAAACCUGCUAAAUAAGCCAAGGACAUUGGUCAGGGCCACCAAGCAGGGGUUACGCAUCUUGGCUCACCUGAGACGGCUCCAUGGCGAGACUCUGGAAGACCUUAGCCCUUUGCAUUCACUUUUCUGAAUUUUUCUCUUUUACUCUGUGAGUUGCAUGAAGAAGGAGCUGAAGCUGCAGCUGUUGAGCUCUCCUUCCAUGGGCCAGCCCUUCUCUUGUCCUGCUGAUGCUGCUUGGGUGGAAAAUGUUCCCUCUCCUCCAGGUUUAACAGACUGUCUUCUCUGGUCAGAUUGGCUUUUAUCUCCCAUCCCAAUGGCUCGCAACUGCUCCUGUUGUCCCUUAAAAUACAGCAUCAUCUCUGCCCCAGGGUUUGUUUUUCUCAUCUUUCAGAAGGAAAAGGCAUGCAAGUUAUUCACUCACCUGUCCCCUGCUUUUGUUUCUCCUUCCAAUGAGUGUUCAAGUCCUUCGAUGACGUCUGGAGGCUGUGGGAGCCUCCCAUCACUGGCAGAUGCAAGAGGAGACAUCAUGCCUGGAGAGGAAGCAGCAAAGCCUGAGCUGGAGCUGGGGACUUGCGGGGGGAGAUCAAAAACAUCUUAGCAGCAGGGGCCGCAGCAGCAAGGAGCCCAUGUGCCAUGAGGGAGUACCCACAGCCAGGGCAGGAUGGAAGCAAAAGAGCAUGAUGGCAUGGAUGGUGUUUGUGGUUGGAGACAGUCGUGAUGGUGCCUUCCUGCAGCAUGAGAAGGGGCAGAUGGCUGUGGGAAAACCCCAAGACCCAGCAGGCUCUGCAGCAUGGAUAAUGAGGUGCUGGAACAUUUCAGGGUGACUCACCGUUGUUGAGGGCAGUUCAACAUCCAAACACAGCAUCAAAAUGGGAGCUUUCAGCUGGUAGAAGUUUUAUCCCACAUCAGGGAUGCUUGCAAUCCAUCUCCGUGCCAGAAGUUUGCUGCUGAAACACAGGCUCUGUAGCUGAAACUUCAUUUUCUUGCUCUGGAUUGUAUAUUUUCCCUCAUUGUAUCAGUUAUCUAGCUGUCCACACCCCUCUCUCUGCAAA